AGUGGGGAAUAUUGCACAAUGGAGGAAACUCUGAUGCAGCAACGCCGCGUGGAGGAUGACACAUUUCGGUGCGUAAACUCCUUUUAUAUGAGAAGAUAAUGACGGUAUCAUAUGAAUAAGCACCGGCUAACUUCGUGCCAGCAGCCGCGGUAAUACGAGGGGUGCAAGCGUUACUCGGAAUCACUGGGCGUAAAGAGCAUGUAGGCGGGUAGUUAAGUUGGAAGUGAAAUCCUAUGGCUCAACCAUAGAACUGCUUCCAAAACUGAUUAUCUAGAGUAUGGGAGAGGUAGAUGGAAUUUCUGGUGUAGGGGUAAAAUCCGUAGAGAUCAGAAGGAAUACCGAUUGCGAAGGCGAUCUACUGGAACAUAACUGACGCUAAGAUGCGAAAGCGUGGGGAGCAAACAGGAUUAGAUACCCUGGUAGUCCACGCCCUAAACGAUGCACACUAGUUGUUGCUAUGCUAGACAUAGCAGUAAUGCAGUUAACACAUUAAGUGUGCCGCCUGGGGAGUACGGUCGCAAGAUUAAAACUCAAAGGAAUAGACGGGGACCCGCACAAGCGGUGGAGCAUGUGGUUUAAUUCGACGAUACGCGAAGAACCUUACCUGGCCUUGACAUAAGCAGAACAUAAUAGAGAUAUAUUGGUGCUAGUUUACUAGAACUGCUAUACAGGUGCUGCACGGCUGUCGUCAGCUCGUGUCGUGAGAUGUUGGGUUAAGUCCCGCAACGAGCGCAACCCUCGUGUCUAGUUACUAACAGUUCGGCUGAGGACUCUAGACAGACUGCCUGGGUAACCAGGAGGAAGGUGAGGACGACGUCAAGUCAUCAUGGCCCUUACGGCCAGGGCUACACACGUGCUACAAUGGGGUAUACAGAGAGCCGCAAUACCGCGAGGUGGAGCAAAUCUUUAAAAUAUCUCCCAGUUCGGAUAGCACUCUGCAACUCGAGUGCUUGAAGUUGGAAUCGCUAGUAAUCGUGAAUCAGCAAUGUCACGGUGAAUACGU
rnacentral:rRNA from 1 species